GAGGUAUCAUAAAGGAAAGGCAAGCAGUGAAACCUCAACAAUACCAUAGCUUAUAGCUGUAUAAUGAAAAUGAACCCAAACGGCCAUAUUACCGGACAAGAGAGAAAUCUUGGCAGAGUAUAGCGGCUGGUUCCCAGGAGGUGGCUGAAUCUCACAAGGUUCAGAUGUUAGAGGAAACAAAUAACUAAUUGUGCUGAACCUCAGCUUGGAUUCAUUCUGGGGUGUGGACAAGCAUUUGUGUCUCCAGAGACUGCAGUGAAGUGGA
rnacentral:lncRNA from 1 species